UAAUACGGAGGGUGCAAGCGUUAAUCGGAAUUACUGGGCGUAAAGCGCACGCAGGCGGUUUGUUAAGUCAGAUGUGAAAUCCCCGGGCUCAACCUGGGAACUGCAUUUGAAACUGGCAAGCUAGAGUCUCGUAGAGGGGGGUAGAAUUCCAGGUGUAGCGGUGAAAUGCGUAGAGAUCUGGAGGAAUACCGGUGGCGAAGGCGGCCCCCUGGACGAAGACUGACGCUCAGGUGCGAAAGCGUGGGGAGCAAACAGG
rnacentral:rRNA from 1 species